rnacentral:rRNA from 1 species
CCCAACCCAUGUGAACUUACCUUUGUUGCCUCGGCAGAACCUACCCGGUACCUACCCUGGAACGGCUACCCUGUAGCAGUUACCCUGGAACGGGCUACCCUGUAGUGCUCCUGCCGACGGACCUUUAAACUCUUGUUAUUUUAUGUAAUCUGAGCGUCUUAUUUUAAUAAGUCAAAACUUUCAACAACGGAUCUCUUGGUUCUGGCAUCGAUGAAGAACGCAGCGAAAUGCGAUAAGUAAUGUGAAUUGCAGAAUUCAGUGAAUCAUCGAAUCUUUGAACGCACAUUGCGCCCAUUAGUAUUCUAGUGGGCAUGCCUGUUCGAGCGUCAUUUCAACCCUUAAGCCUAGCUUAGUGUUGGGAAUCUACUUUAUUGUAGUUCCUCAAAUCCAACGGCGGAUCUGUGGUAUCCUCUGAGCGUAGUAAAUUUUUAUCUCGCUUUUGUUAGGUGCUGCAGCUCCCAGCCGCUAAACCCCCAAUUUUUUGUGGUUGACCUCGGAUCAGGUAGGAAUACCCGCUGAACUUAA